rnacentral:lncRNA from 1 species
AUGUGCUGUAUACUUCAGGUGUGUUAUCCUCAUGGACGAAUAAUCAGGAUUUAGGGUCAUUCAACUCCUCUUCUGCGUAUGUCAUGAUCGCCUCUAUGGAUCAGCAUUUUGCAGUCUUGCAAAGGAAUCAAAGAGUUGUAAUUAUAGUUUCAGAGCAUCGGAUAUAUACAUGUAGCCAUCAUAGGAAUUAAAUGGGAUGUUUACAGUGGAACGACUUUAGGUUGUUGAUAUGAAAAGGCUCAUGUGAGAAAUUAUAGCUAUGAAUAAUGAGAGAUGUAAGAGGUAAAAUUCAGAUAAGAAGGCGCAACAAUUCAUUUCAUUAUAAUUCACAUGAGAUUUAGAUGAUUCAUUAAUUUAAUUUAUUUGAUUUACUUAGUAUUUUACCUUUGUCAUUUGAUCUUGAGUUGCUUAAAGGCUUCGGAGUUAUAGAAUGUAAGCGGUGUUGAAGGUCCAGAUGAAUUUAUAAGAAAUUCUUAUCAAUAUUCUAAUCCAAUUAGAUCCUGCAUUAGGCGUCAAACUGAAUGAAGUUUAUUUGAACCAAUACAAAUUUCAAAUGUGCCAAAGCAUUGGUGAUUUCCUUCACUAGUCCUGGAGAGGUGGCGCUAAAGAUUGUUUUUUUUUGCUUCGGCGAACUUAUAAUGUAACUGUUGGUGUGGCACA